GACGCCUCUUGUAAGCCACGUAUCAGGGCGAUAGCAGUUUUGUAGCUUCUUCAAUGGCGUCUUCUUCAACUACUCUCAUCUCCUCCUCCACUAGGGUUCUUCUCCCAGCCAAGUCUCCGCUUCCAUCUCUCUCCCUCUCUUUCCUUCCAACUCUCUCAUCUCCUUCCGCACUCGCUUCUCUCCGGUUUGCUCGACCCUCUUCCCUCACCUCAAUCCGCUCCACUUCUCAGCCUCCAUGAGCUUAUCAUAAGACUUGGCUCUCUUCCUUGGUCUUUAGCUUUAUGUAUCCAAUUUUAUUGGUGAUUCAUAGUCUCUGUAACUAUGUUUUGUGUAGAUUUCACUUAAAGUCCAGAACUUUAUCGACAUUUUGUUCAUAGGAUUGUUAGUUUUAUUGGCUAUUCACAGUUUCUUUUAACUCUGUUGUGUAGAUUACAGUAAAAUUCCAGAACUGCUUGUUUUUUGCACAUGGAGAAUCGAUUGAGAAUCAUUUUUAUUUUUUGUAUGGUCUGGAACAAAGUUGAAAUGUUCCUUUCUUAGCUGUACUAGUACCUGCUUAAAACAAGAAUAAAAUUGUAAAUCUUUGUUGUGGUUUCCCUGAAUGUUGAGCUGAUUUUGGACGAGACUAAUGGUGUGUGUGUGUGUAUAUGAUAAUCAAGCUUGUGGCAUUGUAGUUUGGAUAGACUGAUUCAGUUCUUUCUUUGUUUUGAUCUUUCUUUGCAGGAGCAUCAUGUGAAGACAUGCGAUGGUUUAGUUUCAGUUGUAGUCUAUGGAGACCAAGAGAAGCCAGCAUUGAUCACUUACCCAAAUGUAGCAUUAAAUUACUUGUCUUGCUUCCAAGGACUGUUUCUCUGCCCUGAAGCAGUGUCUUUGCUCCUCCAUAACUUCUGCAUCUACCAUAUUAGUCCCCCUGGACAUGAGGUUUGCAGAUAAAACAUAAAGAUAGUGUUUUGGGUCUGAUUCUGAUAUCGCCUCUAUACAAAGCACCCUCAUGGUCUGAAUGGUUUUAUUACAAGGUCAAGAAUAGAGUCAAAGAAUGGAGCAUUGGGAGUUUUCUUGUGUCACGGAGUGGAGGAAGUCUUGUAGUUUUCUGUCUUGUUGUCUUGUAGCAUUGGGAGUAAGCUAGUAGUUUUCUGUCGUGGAGGAAGUCUUGUAGUUUUCAGUCAUGUUUGAUCACACACAUGUUCUCUCAUUCUCAACCAACCAAGAUCAUCUUGUGUAGAUAUGUUUUUCAUAAAAUGUUUAAUUUUUUUUAA